GUGAGGAAUUUUCCGCAAUGGGCGAAAGCCUGACGGAGCAAUGCCGCGUGAAGGAUGAAGGCCUAUGGGUUGUAAACUUCUUUUCUCAGAAAAGAAUUAUGACGGUAUCUGAGGAAUAAGCAUCGGCUAACUCUGUGCCAGCAGCCGCGGUAAGACAGAGGAUGCAAGCGUUAUCCGGAAUGAUUGGGCGUAAAGCGUCUGUAGGUUGUUUAAAAAGUAUUCUGUCAAAGAUUAGGGCUUAACCCUAGAUAGGCAGAAUAAACUUUUAAGCUAGAGUGUGGUAGAGGCAGAGGGAAUUCCCGGUGGAGCGGUGAAAUGCGUAGAUAUCGGGAGGAACACCAAAGGCGAAGGCACUCUGCUGGGCCAAUACUAACACUGAGAGACGAAAGCGAGGGGAGCAAAUGGGAUUAGAACCCCUGUAGUCC
rnacentral:rRNA from 1 species